rnacentral:lncRNA from 1 species
GGCAUGGCCUGUCAGGCGGUGUCUCGUUCUGGUUCUCAGUCGAAGCGGAUCGCAGAGCAGGCGCAGCGGCUGUGUGCCUGUGGCUGGGCUGUGCCUUUGCUCUUGUUUCAAUAGGCCGAACCCACAUUUGCUGUCACAUCAGGUAUCGGUAUCCCCAUAGAAUCCAUCUGGAGUGUCAGUGCCUUCUUAAUGGAAAUUGUCAUUGCAGACAACAACAACAAAAAAGUUCAAACUUUAUUCAACUUUUUGGGGUAUUCAAUUCAACAUUAGCUUUGUGUUCUGCUCGAGAAAUACUUUCUGCUGAAUCAUCGCACUUCCAUGUAAUUUUAGGGGCAGCCCUCAUGAUGAUGAUGAUCAUGAUGAUGAUGAUGAUGAUGAUGAUGAUGAUGUUGUCCACUCGUACGCCGUAUGUUUUAAUUAGAAUAUCGUGAGUUGUUUGGCUUUCGAUCAUAUGGCAAACAAUAUCUGUGUGUGCUUAACCCGUGGGUGGCCAUCCAUUCCCAAUGACUUGGCACAAAAAAACACAAAGUAAACUCUGAAAAACAACAGGCAGACUAUAACUCGUUGAAGUCUUUCGAGGAGUUGCUGCCAUAAUUAUUAUUCCCUCUGCAUAUCUCCGCAACAUCAGAACUUGUCCGCAUUUAAUAAAGUAAUCAAAUCGCUCUUGAGAAUGGAAUUGGUUUUAACAUAAUGAGUUUUCGGUGGAGUGGGAACUAUGCAUAAAUAUUACUGGAAAAUGGGUUGUAAUUCGUCGAAUUUUUGGUAUGUGAAAUUUGAAUUGUGGGAACUUUAUCGAGGAAAUAAAAAGAUACGUUUUUAUUUGCAUUUAAGAUUAAUCAUUUUUUAUUCUAAUCAUUGCAGAACUCUCAUUAAAAGGUUGCCAAUUAGCGAAGUCAUUUCCAGUCGAAAAAACUGCUCCCCAUUGCCAUGGGAAACCUUGUGCGAAAAACCUGUUGCCCCAAAAUGCCAAAAAUGUUGCCAAGCUGCCCGCAACAUGUGCCUAGCCACGCACGUGGGUGGCUGCAACGAAACGAAAUGGAAACGAAACAAGUUCCACACAAGCAGCGCGCUUCGGGUUUUGGUCUUCGUUUGACGCACGAUUUGGACAAGUUGUGUGUACGCUUGAAGCGGGGAAAGGGAGUGCAGUACAAGAUAUGUGACCGGGGAAGAGCAUAGUCCAUGUCCAUGUCCAUGGUCAGGUCGGUCUCCAGCUUAAAGAGUAUUUCAGGUGCGGGUGGUGUUGACUUCAUUACCGGGGGGGUGGACACUUGAAACGUGGAGUAGGCGACAAACAGAGCCAGCGCGUACGGGGGGACAACACGUUGAGUGCGGUGCCGCCUAAUGACACACAGCAGAUACGACGAGGAGUACUUCAAACUCUUCUUCAUACGAUCUCUGGGUCGAACCCUCUCCCCCGUGUGUUUGUGUGUGCGUGAUAAUGAUACGUACGACCUGGGCACUGUUGACACCCAAAGCAUCCUUUAAGCCUCCAUCCAGCAGCGGCCAGAGCAUCCAAUGGCGUGUCAAAACGAGGUGUUAGAAGAGGAUUGCACAUGCAACAUGGGCCCUGGGCCGGCUGUCAUUUCUGUCUGGGUCUAACAUUGCGUGUCUGCGUCCUUCGCUUAUCGCUGCAUUUGGGCUUAAAAGGUGUUAAAACUGCCAACUGCUCAGUUAUCGCCCAAAGGGACACUCGCCUUGGCUAAAUGUUGCAUUAAUAAAUGUGCUUUCAUUUGCGGGUGCUGCGAGUGGUUUAAAGUUGCAAAUUCUUGGAGAAAAUGUUUAUAAUUUAAUGUAUAAUUAAUUUUAUAUCAAAGAAAAAAUAUGUUUAAUUUAUUUUUAGGCAGAUUAGAUACUAAAUAAAGUAGGAAAAUAUCCAAAAGAGAUUUAUGGGAAAGUUAUGUUGAAAUUAAAGAGUUCCUCCCCAGAGUUCCCUUCCAUUGCACACCUCGAAAAAAGGGUUCCCAUGGGUGACACAUAGCAGUCCCCUCUGCACCUCCCUCCCCACAACCAUAAUUCAAUAAAUAAGCUUCCCAUUAUA